GGUACUUGUACCUGAAAAAUAUAGUUGUGUUACUAGAGCUAUGUCAUGUUUUCACGAUACUCUCAGUCAAGCCAUGAUCUAUAGAAAUUAGUCAGUCAUGUGACUCAGGAAAACUCAGUAAUCUCAGUAGUUCAGUAUUCUCAGUAAUCUCAGUGCUCAAUAACCUCAGUAAUCACAGUAAAUCUCAGUGACUUCAGUACUCUUAAUCAAUCCUCAAGACUUAUUAUAUUCCAU
rnacentral:lncRNA from 1 species